rnacentral:rRNA from 1 species
ACUGCUCACCAACACGUGGAUAACCUGACCUAGGGUGGAGGAAACCCCGGGAAACUGGGGAUAAUACUCCAUAGGCUACGGAAGCUGGAAGGCUCUGUAACCGAAAGUUCCGGCGCCCUAGGAUGGGUCUGCGGCCGAUGGGUUGUUGUUGGGGUAACGGCCCAACAAGCCGAUCAUCGGCACGGGUUGUGGGAGCAAGAACCCGGAUAUGGAUUGUGAGACACGAAUCCAGGCCCUACGGGGUGCCCUACGCGCAAAAACUUUACAAUGCGGGCAACCGCCAUAAGGGGACCUCUAGUGCCGACAUCAAAUGUCAGUUGUCGGGAUGCCUAAAAAGCAUUAUAUAGCACGGGUCGGGAAAGACCGGGGCCAGCCGCCGCGGUAACACCGGCGACUCCUGUGAUUACCGCUAUUAUUGAGUUUAAAGGUGCUGUAUCCGUACGGAUAAAUCUCUUGAGAAAUCUGGCCGCUCAUCGGUCAGGCUUUCAGGAGAUACUGUCUGUGUCGAGGCCGGGAGAGGUGAGAGGUACUUCAGGGUGCUGGGUGAAAUCUUGUCUGCCUCGAAGGAUCACCAGCGAUCAACGGGUCUCACCUCACAGGACCUGACCGGGAUGGACGAAAGCUGAGCCCACGAAUCGGAUUAGAUACGCGGGUAGUCCUACCCGUAAACGAUACUCGCCUAGAGUCAUGCACUAAGCGACCGUGGUCUGAGCCGCAUUCCACCGUGAAUCGAGCUCCCUGAGAAGUACCCACGCAAGGGUGAAACUUCUCGGGACUAGGCGGGGGAGCAC